CGGUAAUUCCAGCUCCAAUAGCGUAUACUAAAGUUGUUGCAGUUAAAAAGCUCGUAGUUGGAUUUCUGCGGGGACGGAGCGGCCGGUCGCAACUUGCGACUCGAGCUAGCGCUUUCCCCGCAUCCUGCCGCGAACCGUGCUACCAUUAGUUUGGUGGCGCUGGGGAUCGGCUCGAUUACUUUGAGAAAAAUAGAGUGUUCAAAGCAGGCCACACGCCUUGAAUAAGUUAGCAUGGAAUAAUGACUAAGGACUUUGGUUCUUUUCGUUGGUGUUCGGGACUGAAGUAAUGAUUGAUAGGGACAGUUGGGGCGGUCCGUAUUCCAAAGCGAGAGGUGAAAUUCUUAGACCUUCGGAAGACGAACAGCUGCGAAAGCGUUCCGCAAGGAUGUUCCCUUUGAUCAAGAACGAAAGUUGGGGGAUCGAAGACGAUCAGAUACCGUCGUAGUCUCAACUAUAAACUAUACCAGCUAGGGAUCGGCCAACGUUUAAUUAUUCGACUUGGUCGGCACCUUAUGAGAAAUCAAAGCAUCUGGGUUCCGGGGGGAGUAUGGUCGCAAGGCUGAAACUUAAAGGAAUUGACGGAAGGGCACCACCAGCCGUGGAGCCUGUGGCUUAAUUUGACUCAACACGGGAAAACUUACCAGGUCCGGACAUAGUAAGGAUUGACAGAUUGAUAGCUCUUUCUUGAUUCUGUGGGUGGUGGUGCAUGGCCGUUUUUAGUCGGUGGAUGUGAUCUGUCUGCUUAAUUGCGUUAACGGACGAGACCCCAGCCUGCUAAAUAGCGCGGCCGAGCCUUGCUCGGUGCGAGCUUCUUAGAGGGACCAUGAUGCGCGAUAGCACAAGGAAGUUUGGGGCAACAACAGGUCUGUGAUGCCCUUAGAUGUUCUGGGCCGCACACGGGCUACACUGGCGCCUGCAACGAGCAUAUCAGCUGGCCCGAGAGGGUCUUGGCUAAUCUUUGGAACCGGCGCCGUGCUUGGGAUUGACCAUUGCAAUUGUUGGUCAUGCAACGAGGAAUGCCUUGUAAACGCGAGUCAUCAGCUCGCAUUGAAUACGUCCCUGCCCCUUGUACACACCGCCC
rnacentral:rRNA from 1 species